UACGGAGGGUGCAAGCGUUACUCGGAAUCACUGGGCGUAAAGCGUGCGCAGGCGGUCUGCUAAGACAGGUGUGAAAUCCCUGGGCUCAACCUAGGAAUUGCGCGUGUGACUGGCAGGCUAGAGUACGGUAGAGGGGGGUGGAAUUCCUGGUGUAGCAGUGAAAUGCGUAGAGAUCAGGAGGAACACCGAUGGCGAAGGCAGCCCCCUGGGCCUGUACUGACGCUCAGGCACGAAAGCGUGGGGAGCAAACAGG
rnacentral:rRNA from 1 species